rnacentral:rRNA from 1 species
UACGAAGGGGGCUAGCGUUGUUCGGAAUCACUGGGCGUAAAGCGCACGUAGGCGGAUUUUUAAGUCAGGGGUGAAAUCCCGAGGCUCAACCUCGGAACUGCCUUUGAUACUGGGGAGCUCGAGUCCGGGAGAGGUGAGUGGAACUGCGAGUGUAGAGGUGAAAUUCGUAGAUAUUCGCAAGAACACCAGUGGCGAAGGCGGCUCACUGGCCCGGUACUGACGCUGAGGUGCGAAAGCGUGGGGAGCAAACAGG